rnacentral:rRNA from 1 species
AUUGAACGCUGGCGGCGUGCCUAACACAUGCAAGUCGAGCGAUGAAGGGGAGCUUGCUCCCUGGAAUAGCGGCGCACGGGUGAGUAACGCGUGGAUAAUCUACCCAGGAGUUCGGGAUACCAGCUGGAAACGGCUGACAAUACCGGGUAACAUGCAAUUUAACUAUUGUGUCAAAGGCGGGGCAACCUGUCGCUUUUGGAUGAGUCCGGGUCUCAUUAGCUAGUUGGUAAGGUAAUGGCUUACCAAGGCAGUGAUGAGUAGCCGGCCUGAGAGGGUAAUCGGCCACACUGGGACUGGAACACGGCCCAGACUCCUACGGGAGGCAGCAGUGGGGAAUAUUGGACAAUGGGGGGAACCCUGAUCCAGCCAUGCCGCGUGUGUGAAGAAGGCCUUAUGGUUGUAAAGCACUUUAAGCGAGGAGGAGGCUCUUUUGGUUAAUACCCAAGAUGAGUGGACGUUACUCGCAGAAUAAGCACCGGCUAACUCUGUGCCAGCCGCCGCUGUAA